AAAAUAAAAAAGAAAAUGCAAAUCAAACUCUAAUUAGGAAUAUAAAAUCAAUAAAACUUCCUAAAUAAAAUAAAAUUCUACUUCCUAAUAAAUAACAAAUUACUAAAUAAUAUACACUUCCAAAUUAAUAAAAACCUAAAGUUCCUAAUUUCACGAUAAAAAAUUAAACUAAAAUAAUUCAGAAAUAUCAUCUUCCUAUAAUGUGUUAAUUAUACUUCUUAAUGUCCUUCCUCCUAUCUCCCUAUAGUUUUAUUAAUUAAAUUAAGAAGAAAGAAAAAACUCAGAACUGAUGAUUCAGAAAAAUACAAAGAGGAAAAGUGAUAAAACUCGACAAGAUGUAGAGACUAGUGAAUGUAAUGGAU
rnacentral:misc_RNA from 1 species